rnacentral:rRNA from 1 species
GCGAGGAUGGUUUGAGGAGACAUAUGUUGAAUUGAAUCGUUCGAGCAGCGGACGGGUGAGUAAAGCACAAGGACUUGUCCGAAAGAGAGGGACACCUUCGGGAAACCGGAGCUAAUACCUCAUAAGCCGGAAGGUGAAAAGCAGAGAUGCGCUUUUGGAGAGACUUGUGUCCUAUCAGGCAGUUGGUGAGGUGAAAGCUCACCAAACCGAAGACGGGUAGCCGGACUGAGAGGUCGACCGGCCACAUUGGAACUGAGAGACGGUCCAGACUCCUACGGGAGGCAGCAGUGGGGAAUAUUGGGCAAUGGGCGGAAGCCUGACCCAGCGACGCCGCGUGAGGGAAGACAGCCUUCGGGUUGUAAACCUCUGUUGUAGGGGAAGAAGGAAGUGACGGUACCCUGCGAGGAAGCUCCGGCUAACUACGUGCCAGCAGCCGCGGUAAUACGUAGGGAGCGAGCGUUGUCCGGAAUUACUGGGCGUAAAGGGCGCGUAGGCGGCGCUUCAAGUCGUCUGUCAAAUGGAAGGGCUUAACCCUUUUUCGCAGACGAAACUGGAGAGCUUGAGAAGCAGAGAGGCAAACAGAAUUCCUGGUGUAGCGGUGAAAUGCGUAGAUAUCAGGAAGAAUACCAGUGGCGAAGGCGGUUUGCUGGCUGCAUACUGACGCUGAAGCGCGAAAGCCAGGGGAGCGAACGGGAUUAGAUACCCCGGUAGUCCUGGCAGUAAACGAUGUAUGCUGGGUGUGAGACUAGCGAUAGUUUCGUGCCGAAGUUAACGCGAUAAGCAUACCGCC